rnacentral:piRNA from 1 species
UGAAAAGUUAUGGGAUGCUCUAUUCAAAAC